ACAUGCCUACAACAUAGCGUUAAUGCACUGAAUCCCAUUAGAAAUCUGUAGCUAAGCGCGCUCGUGCUAGAGUAGUAUUGGGAUGGGUGACCUCCUGAGAAGUCCUAGUGUUUUACAUGCC
rnacentral:rRNA from 1 species